rnacentral:misc_RNA from 1 species
GCACCAAUCUCUCAUGCAACAUUCUCAUGUGAUAGUCAGCUGGUAUAUGCUAGCUUCUUAGAUGCAACAGUCCGUGUGUUUAGUGCUCAAAAUUUGAGACUACGUUGUCGCAUCAAUCCUUCCUCUUAUCUUCCUGCUAAUGUCAGCAGUUCUAAUGUCCACCCACUUGUGAUUGCUGCACAUCCACAAGAAUCAAAUCAGUUUGCAUUGGGACUAUCUGAUGGUGGGGUUCAUGUCUUUGAACCCCUUGAAUCCGAAGGCAAAUGGGGAGUGCCGCCUCCUGCUGAGAAUGGGUCAGCAAGCAG